AAAAGGGGGGCAACUCCCUGAGUAAAGCGGCGAACGGGUGAGUAACACGUAGGUAACCUACCCUCGAGCCUGGGAUAACCUACCGAAAGGUGGGCUAAUACCGGAUAUGACCACGGGAGCUGCGGCUCCUGCGGUGAAAGGUGGCCUCUGCUUGCAAGCUACCACUCAUGGAUGGGCCUGCGCACCAUUAGCUAGUUGGUGAGGUAAUGGCUCACCAAGGCGAUGAUGGCUAGCUGGUCUGAGAGGAUGGCCAGCCACACUGGGACUGAAACACGGCCCAGACUCCUACGGGAGGCAGCAGUGGGGGAUAUUGCGCAAUGGGCGAAAGCCUGACGCAGCGACGCCGCGUGGGUGAUGAAGGCCUUCGGGUCGUAAAGCCCUGUCGAGGGGAAAGAAACGGUUCCGACCCAACACGUCGGGACCCUGACGGUACCCCUAAAGGAAGCACCGGCUAACUCCGUGCCAGCAGCCGCGGUAAUACGGAGGGUGCGAGCGUUGUUCGGAAUCACUGGGCGUAAAGGGCGUGUAGGCGGUCUGUUAAGUCUGAUGUGAAAGCCCGGGGCUCACCCCCGGAAGUGCAUUGGAUACUGGCGGACUCGAGUCCCGGAGAGGAGGGUGGAAUUCCUGGUGUAGCGGUGAAAUGCGUAGAUAUCAGGAGGAACACCGGUGGCGAAGGCGGCCCUCUGGACGGUGACUGACGCUGAGACGCGAAAGCGUGGGGAGCAAACAGGAUUAGAUACCCUGGUAGUCCACGCUGUAAACGAUGAGCACUAGGUGUCGUGGGUAUUGACCCCCGCGGUG
rnacentral:rRNA from 1 species